ensembl:lncRNA
UCCCACGACUCUGUCGUCAUCCACUUCUGAAGGGACAAGCACAUCUGCUGAAGUCACAGCCACAUCAUCUUCAGCUACUUCAAGUCCCACGACUGUGUUGUCAUCCACUUCUGAAGGGACAAGCACAACUGCUGAAGUCACAGACACAUCAUCUUCAGCAACUUCUCCAAGUUCAAGUCCCACGACUGUGUCGUCAUCCACAUCAGAAGGGACAAGCACAACUGCAGAAGUCACAGACACAUCAUCUUCAGCGACUUCAAGUCCCACGACUGUGUCGUCAUCCACUUCUGAAGGGACAAGCACAACUGCAGAAGUCACAGUCACAUCAUCUUCAGCAACUUCAAGUCCCACGACUGUUUCUUCACCCACAUCCGAAGGGACAAGCAUAACUGCUGAAGUCACAGACACAACAUCUUCAGCAACUUCUCCAAGUUCAAGUCCCACGACUGUGUCGUCAUCCACAUCCGAAGGGACAAGCAUAACUGCAGAAGUCACAGACACAUCAUCUUCAGCUACUUCAAGUCCCACGACUGUGUCGUCAUCCACUUCAGAAGGGACAAGCACAACUGCUGAAGUCACAGCCACAUCAUCUUCAGCAACUUCUCCAAGUUCAAGUCCCACGACUUUGUCGUCAUCCACAUCAGAAGGGACAAGCACAACUGCAGAAGUCACAGACAACAUCUUCAGCAACUUCUCCAAGUUCAAGUCCACGACUGUCUCUUCAUCCACAUCGAAGGGACAAGCACAUCUGCUGAAGUCACAGACACACAUCUUCACCAACUUCUCCAAGUUCAAGUCCCACGACUGUGUCGUCAUCCACUUCUGAAGGGACAAGCACAACUGCAGAAGUCACAGACACAUCAUCUUCAGCUACUUCAAGUCCCACGACUGUGUCGUCAUCCACUUCUGAAGGGACAAGCACAACUGCUGAAGUCACAGCACAACAUCUUCAGCAACUUCUCCAAGUUCAAGUCCCACGACUGUGUCGUCAUCCACUUCUGAAGGGACAAGCACAACUGCUGAAGUCACAGACACAACUUCUUCAGCAACUUCUCCAAGUUCAAGUCCCACGACUGUGUCGUCAUCCACUUCUGAAGGGACAAGCACAACUGCAGAAGUCACAGACACAUCAUCUUCAGCUACUUCAAGUCCCACGACUGUCUCGUCAUCCACUUCUGAAGGGACAAGCACAACUGCUGAAGUCACAGACACAACAUCUUCAGCAACUUCUCCAAGUUCAAGUCCCACGACUGUGUCGUCAUCCACAUCAGAAGGGACAAGCACAACUGCAAAGUCACAGACACAUCAUCUUCAGCAACUACUUCAAGUCCCACGACUGUGUCGUCAUCCACUUCUGAAGGGACAAGCACAACAGCAGAAGUCACAGAUACAUCAUCUUCAGCGACUUCAAGUCCCACGACUGUCUCUUCAUCCACAUCCGAAGGGACAAGCAUAACUGCUGAAGUCACAGACACAACAUCUUCACCAACUUCUCCAAGUUCAAGUCCCACGACUCUCUCUUCAUCCACAUCCGAAGGAACAAGCAUAACUGCAGAAGUCACAGACACAUCAUCUUCAGCAGCUAGUUCAAGUCCCACGACUGUGUCGUCAUCCACUUCUGAAGACA